CUAUUCCACUGCACGUCGUGGUCUUUCCCUUGCUGGUUGGAUGACUACUAUGGACGAAGAGCACAACUACUUCCAGUCUCUGGUCGAUAAGUACCCAAGGAAGAGUUGCAGUGGGUAAAUCUUAAUGGCUGGCAGAAAAUUGGUUCGGGAUAUAUUACUCUCAAGACAAAGUAUUUUCUAUCAGUUUACUUCCCAUGGGCAUAAAUGAAACUGUGUUUCAAGAACAAGGUGCUGCUACAUCAUUCAAGGAAAUUCGUCGUAGAGGUCUUUCUCUUUACCAGAUUUCGUAGCUGAAGUUUAUGAAGUAAUCAAACCGGUGUUAACUUCUUAUAUAAAGGUAGAUUCCCAAACUUUGAAGAAACACUACAGUACUGAGGUAAUUGAAUGUUGUAAGGCAGAGCAUCGGGCUUACCAGAGCCAAGGUAUCUUCUUCGAUAACAAGGAAUAAAGGAAAAUGAAAUAUAACCAAACUUGGGAUCUUUGCAAGCAAGCUUCC